GGCUGGUCUGAGUGCAGUGGUGUUUACAACUCAUUGAUCACAACCAGUUACAGAUUUCUUUGUUCCUUCUCCACUCCCACUGCUUCAUUUGACUAGUCUUAA
ensembl:misc_RNA Y_RNA Y RNA